ensembl:lncRNA
CCAGCAUUUUAAUGAACAUUACAAAAAGUUUAUUUAAAAUUAUUUUUUUUCCAUUUCUCUUUUCCUUUGUACAUUUGGUAGCAAUAAGGCAAAAAAGUAGUCUCUGGAAUAACAAUUAAUUCACAUCAAUUAAUUAUUACCACAAGUAUAAAUAUUAUUAAAAUCUGGGUUGUUGCUACAGUGAGUCACUGCUCUCCCAAUGUGUCUCUGCAUUGGAAAAGGAUUGUGGUAGAAGUUGCCUCAACACAGAUGUAGGAACAGAGUAUCUGACAGGUCAAACAUUCUAGAUCUGACCUUGCGCCAGUGGUUAGGGAGAUUUUUUUUUUACCAGGUCUUAAGAAAGAUAGAGGACGGUGCUAGAUCUCACUGGAGACCACGGGUGAUGCUGUUGACAUUGGUAUGGUGAUGUCACUCAAUGUAAAAGUGGUGGUUUUGGUUACCGGUUGUUUUAGUUGUGAGUUUUUUUUCCAGUUUGUUCAGAGACAGCCAGGAAAGGUGUGUGGUGGCAAUGGAGUGAUAGGAUUGUGAAUGGCAGACAAAGCCACAAGGAGAGGGGGAUGGGGAAAAAAUAAUGAGGAAAAGGAGAUGGGGGAAGAGGAAAGCAUUGAAAUCCCUUCAUGGAAUCUUAUCCAAAGCUACAAAAUGGUCUAUCAUAAAACACUCCUAAAAUAGCUAUAAAAUCCAGUCUCAUCACAAAAUAACAGAAACAAAAUCUGAAUUGAAACCAGAAUAAACGUAAAAACAUUCGUUGAUAAUACAAGGCCAUUCUUGAGUCACAUGUUAGUGUGUACAGUGUUUUACAGUGCUUCUUGUGAGUGUUGGCCAACGGAUCAAUGAAAACACUCCUCAAAAAUAUAUAAUUCCAGUCAGAGCAGCAAUCCUUGGUUUUUUUGUUCUCUCAACAAAAUGCAUGUUAAAAUAAAAUCUGAAAGUGCCAAAUACAUUUCUGUUGUGCCUGAACCAUAGCCAUGUCUGUGCAGGUUUUUUCUACACCGAGUAGAGAAUACAUUAAGAAUACCUGCUCUUUCCAUGACAGACUGACAAGGUGAAUCAGGCGAAGCUCAGAUCCCUUAUUUAUGUCACUUGUUAAAUUCACUUCAAAAUCAGUGUAGAUAAAGGGGAGGAGACAGAACAAAGAAUGAUUUUUAAGCCUUGAGACAUGGAUUGUGCAUGUGUGCCAUUCAGACAUUGAAUGGGUAAGACAAAAUAUUCAAGUGCCUUUGAACGGGGUAUGGUAGUAGGUGCCAGGCGCACCGGCUUGUGUGAAGAACUGCAACGCUGCUGGGUUUUUCCACGCGCAACAGUUUCACGUGUGUAUCAAGAAUGGUCCACCACCCAAAGGACAUCUGUGGGAAGCACUGGAGUCAACAUGGGCCAGCAUCCCUGUGGAACGCUUUCAACACCUUGUAGAGUCCAUGCCCGACAAAUUGAGGAUAUGGGGGGGGUGCAACUCAAUAUUAGGAUGUUUUGUAUACUCUGUCUAUAUGGACUUGAGGGGAGGGUUGAAACAGGAAGAGAGAUCAUAAAAACAGAGCCGUCUACAGACCCAGAGCCCGUGAGUGGCGAGUGCAAUAUUCUGUGUAUACAAGACGUCAGUCUCUCAAGUUCUCUAAAAUCAAGAAAACACCCCGUGAUUGGCUCACAAUUGUGGCACAAAGGUUAUUUCCUGUACCCUCGUCUCCCUGGUCCCAGAAAACGUGCGUCCUGUCCAAAACAAUAAAAUAAAUAGAAAAAAAAACAUGUACACACAAAUAAUAUUAAAGGCUUUAAAAUAUUUUCUGAUCUGCUCCUAGUUAAGUCACAGUUCCCUUCAGUCACAUCCUGGGUGGAGAUUCAGCCAGAGACCUGAGAGAGAGAGA